CCUACGGGGAGCAGCAGUGAGGAAUAUUGGUCAAUGGACGAGAGUCUGAACCAGCCAAGUAGCGUGAAGGAUGACUGCCCUAUGGGUUGUAAACUUCUUUUAUAUGGGAAUAAAACGUUCCACGUGUGGGAUUUUGUAUGUACCAUAUGAAUAAGGAUCGGCUAACUCCGUGCCAGCAGCCGCGGUAAUACGGAGGAUCCGAGCGUUAUCCGGAUUUAUUGGGUUUAAAGGGAGCGUAGGUGGAUUGUUAAGUCAGUUGUGAAAGUUUGCGGCUCAACCGUAAAAUUGCGGUUGAAACUGGCAGUCUUGAGUACAGUAGAGGUGGGCGGAAUUCGUGGUGUAGCGGUGAAAUGCUUAGAUAUCACGAAGAACUCCGAUUGCGAAGGCAGUUCACUGGACUGCAACUGACACUGAGGCUCGAAAGUGUGGGUAUCAAACAGGAUUAGAUACCCUGGUAGUC
rnacentral:rRNA from 1 species